GGGUUUAAAGUUUCUGUGUUCUUUGUAUGCCGAGUCAUAUCAUCAUCUUGUCGAGUGCUGGCGUGGCGCGGUGUGUUCGCCGUUCGGCGUGUGAGUGGUGUCAUGAUGGUUUCGAAUCACUGCUGAUAAAUUUUUUUUUAAUCCUUUUUUUUAUGGAAAAUGAAGUGGAUUAUUGUAUAAUGUAUUUUAUUGGUGAGAAUUUGUUUUUUUGUAAUUAUUUUAUUUGCCAUACUCUUUAAACAUUUCUAUCACAAAUAUUAAUUCUACUUUGUCUAAUCAGGGGCGCGGAGCAGCGGUUGUAAACU
rnacentral:lncRNA from 1 species